UGUAGCCUACUUGUUGUUUAGCUCACGUUGUUAGGGCAAUGCGCCCUCCGCUGAUAAAAUAAUGCCUUUAGAGUUCGAGAUCUCAAUCAUGGGUUAGGCCUAUAUAUCCCAAGAUAAAGAAGCAAUCAAAUUACGCAAUUUUAGGAGGUUCACGCCUAUACAACUUUGGUGUAUAGCUUUCGUUUUCUCUUUCUCCCUCCCCAUAUAAAGGGAAAAAGGAUAGCGGCCUUGUCAUCUCUCUGCAACAUGGGUUUUCUAAUAUUUUGCCUCAUCGGAACAGUUGGUGUUGUCACUGGUCCUAUCGCUCUGGGGGCCGCUGGAGUGGCCGCGGUCGCCGCAAUGGCCGCAGCAGGUGCGGGUGCGGGCGCAGCUGCUGCAGGUGCAGGAGGAGCAACUGCAGUUGCACUUCUCAUCUAAAAUCAACUGUAGCCUAAUCGAUAUGCUCUCGUCUCGUCAAACUGAUUUGUUGGGGCAUUUGUGGAAUGGGGCUGGUGACCAUCAUUUUAAGAAUGUCAAUUGACCUUGAAUAAAAUUCUGAAGCCAAAUUAGUUUCUCGUUGAUUAUGCCUAUAUACGCAAUGUAGCCAUCUACACAAAAUUUGUUUCUCGUUCUCAGAGGGAGAGUUCAGCAUAUUGUGGCUGAAUUUCAGAGCUGUCCUGAACACAGCAAGAACAGAACACCUUUGCUGUAACAAUAAACACCUGAACUGGUUACCUUUAAUUUC